rnacentral:rRNA from 1 species
UACCAGCUCUCCGAGUUGUAGGGACGAUUAUUGGGCUUAAAGCGUCCGUAGCUGGCUUAGCAAGUCUCCUGUUAAAUUCAGCGACCUAAUCGUUGAGCCGCGGGAGAUACUACUAGGCUAGGAGGCGGGAGAGGUCGACGGUACUUUCGGGGUAGGGGUGAAAUCCUAUAAUCCCGGGAGGACCACCAGUGGCGAAGGCUGUCGACUAGAACGCGCUCGACGGUGAGGGACGAAAGCUGGGGGAGCGAACCGGAUUAGAUACCCGGGUAGUCCCAGCUGUAAACGAUGCGGGCUAGGUGUUGGGGUGGCUACGGGCCACGUUCACGUGCCGCAGGAAAGCCAUUAAGCCCGCCGCCUGGGGAGUACGGCCGCAAGGCUGAAACUUAAGGAAUUGGCGGGGGAGCGACCACAAGGCGUGAAGCUUGCGGUUC